AUAUACCGAAUUUUAAAAAAAUUAAAAGAAAAUGUCCAACCUUUCUACAAUCAAAAAGUUCUAGAUGUAAAUAUUUCCCGAUCGGAACUCAUUCAUACAGAGAAAUCCAGAUUGGAGAAGCCAAAAAUGAAAUUGCAGUUCAAGAGGUGAUAAGGGCAGCCGAUGGAGGGUUUUGAUCCGCAUAGAGAGAGAGAGAGAGAAAAAUGUCCAACCUUUCUACAAUCAAAAAGUUCUAGAUGUAAAUAUUUCCCGAUCGGAACUCAUUCAUACAGAGAAAUCCAGAUUGGAGAAGCCAAAAAUGAAAUUGCAGUUCAAGAGGUGAUAAGGGCAGCCGAUGGAGGGUUUUGAUCCGCAUAGAGAGAGAGAGAGAG
rnacentral:lncRNA from 1 species